GCGGUCGUGGCGGAAUCGGUAGACGCGCUAGGUUGAGUAGUGGUGGUUAACACCGUGGAGGUUCAAGUCCUCUCGACCGCACCA
rnacentral:tRNA from 1 species